rnacentral:rRNA from 1 species
ACGCUCGACACCUACGGGAGCAGCAGUAGGGAAUCUUCCACAAUGGACGCAAGUCUGAUGGAGCAACGCCGCGUGAGUGAAGAAGGUCUUCGGAUCGUAAAACUCUGUUGUUAGAGAAGAACACGAGUGAGAGUAACUGUUCAUUCGAUGACGGUAUCUAACCAGCAAGUCACGGCUAACUACGUGCCGGCAGCCGCGGUAAUCUGAGCGGGCUGGCAAGGC